UGACCUCGGAUCAGGUAGGAGUACCCGCUGAACUUAAGCAUAUCAAUAAGCGGAGGAAAAGAAACCAACAGGGAUUGCCUCAGUAACGGCGAGUGAAGCGGCAAAAGCUCAAAUUUGAAAUCUGGCUCCAUGCGGAGCCCGAGUUGUAAUUUGGAGAGGACACUUCGGGUGCGGCCACGGCAUAAGUUCCUUGGAACAGGACGUCAUAGAGGGUGAGAAUCCCGUCUUUGGCUGCUGGACCGCGCCCAUGCGAAGUUCCUUCGACGAGUCGAGUUGUUUGGGAAUGCAGCUCUAAGUGGGUGGUAAAUUUCAUCUAAAGCUAAAUAUUGGCCGGAGACCGAUAGCGCACAAGUAGAGUGAUCGAAAGGUUAAAAGCACCUUGAAAAGGGAGUUAAAUAGCACGUGAAAUUGUUGAAAGGGAAGCGCUUGCAACCAGACUCGGUCGUGGGGGCUCAGCGGGCAUGCGUGCCCGUGUACUCCCCCAUGCUCCGGGCCAGCAUCAGUUCUGGCGGUUGGUUAAAGGCC
rnacentral:ncRNA from 1 species